rnacentral:lncRNA from 1 species
UUGGGAAGCAGUUCUUUUUCUUCUGAAAUUGAGUUUUGAGAGAAAUCCAUGUAUAAAUAUAUACUUACACACAUUAAAUUUUCUUGUCAUGUGAACUUUUUUUGAGGUUUGUAAUUGUCCUGUAGUUUGGUUCAUUCACAUUCCCAUAUCCAUCUAAGGGUUGUAAUUCCUGGAGAACAAGAAUGAAAAAUGAACCAAGUCCUUCCUCAUGCCAAAUAAUGGCUGUGCAUCAGGGCAGCUGAAAGGUUUUUUCCCAUAAGAAUGAGCGGUAAACGCAGCUGUUGGAGAUGAGUGGGUGAUCCUCUCUCCUUUAUCAGCUCUUGGCUUCUACAUUUGAGCAGUGAUCAGUGUAUUGCAGCAAUUGGUGCUAGCUGAAUCCAUUUUUACAUCUGAGUACAUAAAGAUGUUUGGAAGACAAGGUAAUAUUCAGGUCUCUGUAUGACCCCACAUUUUUGGCACAACUGACAAGUACAGAUAGCUGUCUGGAGGAGAAAGGGCUGCAUAAGCUCCUUCUGCUGCCAAGAAUUUGUACAUCGGAGUGAACUGAAAAAAAGGCUUCUGCAUAGACGACACAGAUGGAAGUACAUCAGCAAUGGGGAAAAAAAGGUCCUGUGACGUAGAUGGCUUGCUUGAGCUUGUACACAACAUAUUCAGUGGAACGGGAAAGCACCGAACUAUAAACUUCCAGACACUGCUGCAAGGAGCUGGCCUGCUACCACAUUCUAAAACUCUUCUCCAAACACUCUUUGAACCCUGAAUUUUUGGAUCUUUUCCAUAAAAGAGAGUCCAUAAUACAGAUUCAUCUUUGAGAGGACUUAAGGAAGAAUUAUGGUACUGAGGUUUUUUGUAUUUUCUAAUUGUAUAUUUGCCCUUUGUUUCAAUAUUCCGCUCUUUAUACAAGCUCCACAAUCAAGAAUAAAUAUUUACUGUAGAAUUUAGGUGGAUGUCA